CGGAAAUACGGUGCCGGAUAACGUCCGGCGGGGGUGACCCCAGGGAAAGUGCCACAGAGAGCAAACCGCCAUGCAUCGCAUGGUAAGGGUGAAAGGGUGGGGUAAGAGCCCACCGCGCUUCUGGUAACAGCGGCGGCAAGGUAAACCCCACCGGGAGCAAGACCGAAUAGGGAUGACACGGGAUGGGCGAAAGCCCGUUCACAGCCGGUUUCCAGGCCCGUCAUCCGGGUGGGUUGCGCGAGGCGGCAUGCAAAUGCCGUCCCAGAUGAAUGGCUGCCACGUUCCGGGUCAAACCGGGG
rnacentral:misc_RNA from 1 species